rnacentral:snRNA from 1 species
GAAUGAGAGGGCAAUCUGGCUACAACAUCUGUCACCCCAUUGAUCGCUGGGUUUGAUCUGGCUGAUUUGGCUGGCUUAUAUGGGUGUCCCUUUCCUCCCUCAGUACUCAUAUGUCUCCUUUUCAAGCUGCCUGUGCCCUUGGUCAGGGAGGAUGACCUUCCCUGAGAGAUGAGGACCGUUCUUUGGGUCAAGGGUAUAGGAAGAGGUGUGCUUUCCUGCUAGAACUUCUAAACAAUCUCUCAAAGCUCAUUUGUAGGAGAAAGUAGGGUAGUCAAGUUUCUAAGCCUCCAGACACAUCCAAAUGAGGCACUACAUGUGGGAGUCUGCCUUUCUUU